UUUUGUUUUGUUUUGUUGUUUCCAUCUUCCAGUGUUUGUGUAAUACCCCGAUCCUCCGACAUAAGUUAAUUAUCAUUUAAUUGGUUAAGUGAUGAUUAGAAGGCAUAUUGAUAUUGGCUUAUGUUAAUUAUUUAGAAUUAUUAUGAGAACAAGUGGACUAGUUAGAAUUAAAGGGAUUUGGUUGGAUAUGAACAAAAUGACAUUGUUGUAGAUAUGGCCUAGUUGGAAGGUAAAUUGGGUAUUAUUCUUCAAUUGCAUGGUCAUAAAGUGGUAGUAAAGACUAUAUUCUUUCCAAGUCAGAAUUUUUGAAGAAGAGAGAGCAUAGGAACAUGGAAAGAAAGAAGAACUCAUGAGGCAAGCUCCAUUUUCGCAACUAUUGAUACAGCUCCACUAAAUCAGCUUGGUUAUUGGUGGAGAUAAACACAUUUGAAGAUUGAUGAUUGAUGCUGAAAGUGAGUACAAGAGUGAUUACGGGUUUGAUCAUAUUAGAGGUGAAGUGUUGGUCAAAGAGAGAGUUCAAUGGCAGCAAGAGUAUUCUCAUAACCUCCAUUAAAUCCAUGGUGCAGUUUAGUAGCGUUUGACAGAUAGUAGGUUCGGAUUGACGACUUAAAGUGGUGAUGGCUCGGAGACCUCGUCAGAUCUUAUUUCCCGCUGUGCAAAUCCAUGAAGACACAUGUUUUGUAAUUAUUAAUAUUAUUUCAUGUUGUAUUUAUAUGGAUCCUCUUGUAUCUUUAGCUUUGGUAUGUACUCAAAUACCGAUUUUUAACGUUUCAUGCAUAAUAUACUAGUCAAUUAUGUGUGGGGUGUUACAGUUGGUAUCAGAGCAGGUCGAUUCUCGGCCGAGCCAUGAGACAUCACUAGCAAUUCCUUUCUUCCUCACAUGUGAGCGUUGCUUGCCUGAUUUUAUUGAUAUCUCAUUGAGUCGUUGAACUUGAUCAACCCAUCGACUAAGUGUGAGACAGUAGAAUUACGGCAGAGCCGCCACGAGGACUCGUAAACCUGUAAGUGUCGUGAACCCAAGUAGCAAGGAUUAGUUGGGUGGUGAAUUGUAUGUGGAAGCUGGAUUUAUUGGACGACGUAAGUAGAAGGGAUAUUGGAGUUGUCAGACUUAAGGAGAGCGUUUGACGCGAAAUAGUGAUACUCGAACUACCAAGUAUGGAUCGAGACAACUAGAACCCCCAGGAAUUAGAUUGGACGAAGUGAAUUUUUAUCCAAGUCUUGGUAAUGGCAAACAGGAUUGAGUAGGAGCCUUGUAGGUGAGAUUCUCCGAAGGUGUUGAGCUGGGAAUUAGUAGGAUUCAGUACCGAUGAUGUUGUCGGUGUUAAGUAUGACGGGUGAGCUGAUAGGACAGAAUGACCUUUGGAAAUGCGGACAGAAGAGUUAGACCUUUCUGAUUGUGCUAGUAUGGACAGUGAUUGGAUGGGCGGAGUAUUAGAUCCUCAUACAACUUGAAGUACCCUAAGCAAGAGUGGUUUCCUAGUGAAAGGUUGCUGGAAGGUGCGGAUUGGGUAACUUACGAUUGGGUGAAUCUUGGAUACCUGAUUGAUGGUAUAGGGCAUGCAUUUCCAUUCUUAUCAUUUUGUGCUUAAGUUCUAGAACUACGCUAGAUGGAAGACAAAAUGAGGUAGAAGCGUGAAGUGCAGUAACCUAAGUUCUUGUUAGUUAUAGUUCGUCUGACCUCGAGUGAAGCCAUAGAACUACGCUUGGCGUUGGGCGUUCAGCCGAGUAAGAACUAAGAUCUAUCUGGAACGUCAAUAGGAUGAUCGUAGUUGUGUUGGUUGUUAGGAACCAUAGUAUUCCUAUCUGGACUGAAUUAUCCUUGGAAUCCUAUGCAUGCGUGGGACGAGUGGGUACGCGCACUGCAUGGUAACCCGAAGUUGAACUUCAAUCUUCGUGCUUAGCAUUUUGGCUUCCCGAGUAAGUAAACCUUGGUGUGUAGCACUCUCAGGUUUUAGCAUCCUGAGGAGUGUGAUUCGAAGGACUUGAGGAACGAUGAGCCUAUUGGAAGCCUAUUCAGACACUUGUCGGUCGUGACUAUAGGAUACGCGUGGGGAUCAUCAUACGCCAUUAAGGUAGGUUACCUGGAUACAUGGCCUCGGAGUUGGACCACCAUGUCGGUACUACCAGACGAGUAUAAUGCCACCGUAUCGCUAUCGUGCACGAGAUGCGUGAGUCAUCCUUUUGCCGACAUGUGUGGGACAAAGGUGACCUGAAGCUCAAGGUAGAAUUCUGAUUUGGCACUUGUGAGAUACAGAUCCGGACUCUCAUAAGGUACGUGGGAUAAGGAUCCAUAUGUCGCGCUCGAUAGCAGAGGGAUAACUGAGAGGCGAUGGUGUGAUGGAUCAAGAUCUGAUACUAUGCUUAUGGAGACUCUGAGUGAUCGUACUCGCGUGAGUUAGAGUCAGAUUGUACCUUGGGGACGUUCUCGUUUCAUGAAGUGUUAGGUUGACAAUUUUACGUGAGUGUCUAGAGUGGGACUCGUAUGCGGUCAUGAUAUCCUGGUCAGCAUGGUGAGUGGCUAUCAUGUACCAUUGGCGACCGGUGAUGGAAUAUGCAAGUUGUAUCUUGGAUUGGCUUGAUGUGUGAUGUGUCUGGUAAGGUAUUGCUAGAUACUCUGAGUGGAGAAGUGUUAAUCUUUGUAAAGCAGGGACAUUUUGGUCUGAGAACUUCUGAGGAGUUUAUAAGAGAGAUGUUCGAAAUGCAAAGUGCAAAGUGCAAUUUCUUGUAUUGUGGCUACACUCAGACUGUUGGAAGCACUACAAUGAAGGAUGCAGCCGUCGAGGAAGUCAGUUUAGUGUCUGAUUCAGCGGUGGAACAGACAUUAGAUGACUGUGUGAAUGGAGUGUGGCUAUGGGAGAAUUGUUAUAUCAGUAAGUCACACGAGUUAUCAGAGGCGAUACUACGCUAAGAGAAUGAAGCCGUUUGAUUGGGGAGAAGCGAUGUGGAACUGACAGAGUUGUGGUAAGCUGCAGUACGUUAUGAAGGAUUAGUUAUACCAUCUAAGCAACAAGGCUUGUUGGAAUGAUGGACAUAGCAGUUAUACGCUUAUACGUUGCGGAAAUCAGUAACGAAGGACGAUUUUUAAGUCAAUGGGUGUUUGGUUUUCAAUGUCCUGAAACCGAAGCUUGUGCCUAAGUUGUGAUAGAUGGAUCUAACCUGAAAUGAUAGAGUAGGUGGAGACUUGGUUCUGGGGAUUACGCAACUACAAGGAGUAGUAGUCAACAAUGAACGCAUAUGGAGUUCUGGCACGUGUUGUAAUUGGACAACUGUAGAUAAGGAAUUAUUGUGUAUUUAUGGAAACUAAGUGAAUUAUGGAUAUAACGUGACUCUGAGGAUUUAAAGGUGUGUGACUUGUUGGAAUCAGAGUAGCGCAACGGAUCAAGGAAGAAUCAGAUAAGUCUGAGGGGGAAAUGAGCGGAUUAUUUGUGGGAUCUUAUGUUGGGAUGAAAAUAUUUUCUUGAGGGAAAUUGCCGUAGCAGCAUUUUGUUCAUUCCAAUCUCUCGAAGAUCCACCAUAAGCUCGUGAGGUGUCGUCAAUGGGCCAGCCCGGGAAUACUUUUUGUGGAUGGUGUGCGGACCGAUGUUCGUAAGUCAUCAGUUUAGCUUGUAAGUUGCAGGGGUCGGACAUAGUAUCGUGACCGCCGGAAUGCUGAAGACUAGUGGGGAUUUUAAGUUGGCGCAAGUUAUUGUGGUUAUGUCUUGUGUACUGUGAUCGUACAGGAAGACUGGUACAAUGGUUACAGGUCAGUUGUUAAAUUUCACCUCUCAUCAGUAGAAUCAUGUGCGAAGUUGUCGAAUGUCAAGGCUAUAGUUGCAAGAUGAUUACACUUUCGCGGUUUACAGUGACAGUUGUUAUGUCUAACUGGAGUAAGGAUUAAAGUAAGGAGAUUCAGUUGUAUAAGUAAAGAUAAAUUUGGGACAAUCAUCCUAAGACUUUGGGAACCAGAGGUUAAGACCAAGGAAUUUGGAGACCACCUAAUGACAUUGUAUGAACUCGAGUGGAGAAUAACUUGAAGUGUUAUCCCAGAAGCGACGUUGUGGCAGUAAUCCUCAAACGGGAAGUAAUUCAAAGAGCUGAGUGGAUUAUUAGAGUUUUUGAAGUUAUGGAAAUCCAGUGCAGAGCAGUGGAGGUCGAGGACCUUGGAAAGGUCUUAUACCAUAUAUGUCAAGACGAAGUAUCUGCAGAGAUGGGCUGCGCGAGGAUUAGAGUUUCUAAUCGUGAAUAGUGGGACGCAAGUAUUUUGGCGGAUUAUGUUUCUUCGUAUGGGAUGACCAUCAGACAGAGUAGUGGGAUUAUCUAAAGAGGAAUGUGAGUAACAUUCUUUCUCUUGGUUGGAUAGAUAUGAAGAGUUGGUUUUCUUGGUGAGCGGAAGGAAUUCGAGGACGGAUUCUAUUUAAGGGGGGGAGAAUGUAAUACCCCGAUCCUCCGACAUAAGUUAAUUAUCAUUUAAUUGGUUAAGUGAUGAUUAGAAGGCAUAUUGAUAUUGGCUUAUGUUAAUUAUUUAGAAUUAUUAUGAGAACAAGUGGACUAGUUAGAAUUAAAGGGAUUUGGUUGGAUAUGAACAAAAUGACAUUGUUGUAGAUAUGGCCUAGUUGGAAGGUAAAUUGGGUAUUAUUCUUCAAUUGCAUGGUCAUAAAGUGGUAGUAAAGACUAUAUUCCUUCCAAGUCAGAAUUUUUGAAGAAGAGAGAGCAUAGGAACAUGGAAAGAAAGAAGAACUCAUGAGGCAAGCUCCAUUUUCGCAACUAUUGAUACAGCUCCACUAAAUCAGGUAUAUCUCCCAACUCGUAACUCCGAUCGUAACGAUUCUGGUCCCAUUGGAAAGCUAACGAAUUUCUCUUCGAUUUGCACCUAUGGUUCGCGUUCAUAGCUUGGUUAUUGGUGGAGAUAAACACAUUUGAAGAUUGAUGAUUGAUGCUGAAAGUGAGUACAAGAGUGAUUACGGGUUUGAUCAUAUUAGAGGUGAAGUGUUGGUCAAAGAGAGAGUUCAAUGGCAGCAAGAGUAUUCUCAUAACCUCCAUUAAAUCCAUGGUGAGUCCUUAGUUAGAGACUUUGGGGAAAAUCAUGGGAAUUGCAUGUUUGGGGUUUAGGGAUUGUGAGAAAUAAUUAUAAAUCCAUGACACUAACAUGAUAAUUGUGCUAUUUGUUGGUUGUUAAUUGUUAUUUGUUGGCUGGAUAUAUCUUCAAAUCGUGCAUGCAGGUGGAUUCACGGGGUUAAAAUACCCCAGGACAGAACUGAUGAGUUCUGCAUUUUUCUGUGUCUGCUA